AGCUGGAUUCGCUAGUAAUCGCGCAUCAGCCAUGGCGCGGUGAAUACGUUCCCGGGCCUUGUACACACCGCCCGUCAAGCCAUGGAAGCCGGGGCGCUUGAAGUGCGUUGCCGCAAGGCGCGCCCUAGAGCGAAACCGGUGACUGGGGCUAAGUCGUAACAAGGUAUC
rnacentral:rRNA from 1 species